UUUUUUUAUGACAUAUCUUACUUUUUUAUGGUAAUUGCAUAUGCUGUAGAUAGUUUUUAAAUCAUCGUAAUAAGAUAGGAUUAAAUAUCAAUAAUGUAAUAGAAGAUAAAAAAAAUUAAUCAAAAAUAAAAUUUAAAAAUACAAUCAAACAUGAACUUUGUGAGAGAUGGGCUUCAAUCAUUUUCUAUUCUGGGCCGAAAAUAAUCCGAUUUGUUAAACUGCACAUGGGCUCAAGUUGAAUUGGCCUGUUCUUGUGGGCUGGGUGUUGCGUUUUCUGUUCUAAGUUUUUUUUUUUAAAAAGGCUUUUUUUUUUCUGUUUGGGCAGCUUCUUUCACGUUAGUGUUAUACAGAGCCCAUAUAAAAUGUUUUUGGAAACAAAAGAAGUUGGAAUCUUCGUCUUUGAAAGUGUUCUUUGUGAUCUUCUUUUGCUUUCACUAGUAUACAAUAAGAAAGCACCAGUUAGAAACGUAUCAAGUGAUAAAAACACCUUACAAACUCAAAUUGCUUAAUUUUCACAAACAAUUCUUAGUUACAUAUCCUACACAUAUCGUAAGUUAGUUAAGAAAAAAAAAAACACUGGUAGUACCAAAUGUUUUUAAGAUGUUAUUGUUUGUUGACAUUUUUAGUUAGACUUUACAUCAUUGUUGAUUCGUGGAGCCGAAACAUUUCAGACUACUGGACCGGACUGUACAGUGAAAGACAAGUGUAAUAAAUUAAAGUUUCGUUUAUUGGUUUCUUGGUUCCUUUGUAUAUAUCAAUCGGGACAAAUUUACAAACUAAAAAUAACUCACAUGCAUUCGUUUCCAAAAAGCUAGAAUAGGAAAAAAACACAAAUGAAUUAAUAAUAACCAGAAAAAAGUAAGCUAAUAAUAUUCAUUACGCAAGCGAAAGAGACACAACACCAGUUUCAGUGGCAAGCUGGUCCUUGUAUUAAUUUCCACAUUAUCUUGUAUUAUUAUAUUUAUUAGUAUCAUUGUAUCAAGUUCUCUCAAUAGAAAGAAGAAGAGAUACUUUCUCAAUUCUCUCUAAUGGCUCUAAUAACCUUACUUGAAGUCUCAGUUUCUUUCUUUUUUAUCUCCUUCCUUUUCGGGUAUUUCUUGAUUAGCAAGAAACCUCAUCCUUCGUUUCUCACAAACUGGCCAUUACUCGGCAUGCUUCCAGGUUUACUCGUGGAGAUCCCUCGUGUUUACGACUAUGUAACUGAGCUUCUCGAGGCCUCAAACUUAACUUAUCCUUUGAAAGGUCCAUGUUUCGGGGGACUAGACAUGUUGGUCACCAUUGAUCCUGCCAAUAUCCAUUACAUCAUGAGCUCAAACUUCGAGAAUUACCCGAAAGGAUCCGAGUUCAAGAAGAUAUUCGAUGUUUUGGGAGACGGAAUUUUCAACGCGGAUUCGGAGCUAUGGAAAGAUCUGAGGAAAUCGACUCAAAGCAUGAUGAGUCAUCAUGAUUUUCAAAGGUUUACGCUAAGAACAAGCAUGAGUAAGCUAGAGAAAGGGCUUGUCCCACUUCUUGAUUACGUUGCUGAGAAGAAACUAGUCAUUGACUUACAAGAUGUGUUUCAAAGAUUUACUUUCGACACUUCGUUUGUUUUAGCUACCGGGGUUGAUCCAGGUUGUCUCUCCAUCGAUUUGCCGGAUAUCGAGUUUGCUAGAGCUUUAAACGAAGCAGAGGAAGCAAUAUUCUUCAGACAUGUCAAGCCGGAGAUGGUUUGGAAGAUGCAAAGAUGGAUUGGGAUUGGAGAUGAGUUGAAGAUGAAAAAAGCUCACUCCACUUUCGACAGAGUUUGCUCUAAGUGCAUAGCUUCUAAGAGAGAUGAAAUAACCCGAGGGGUUAUUAACAUCGACUCUUCUUCUAAAGAUUUGUUGAUGUCUUACAUCAAUGUGGAUACGACAAAGUACAAGUUGUUGAAUCCUAGUGAUGAAAAGUUCCUUAGAGACAUGAUUUUAAGCUUCAUGUUAGCUGGUAGAGACACUACUGGAUCUGCUCUCACUUGGUUCUUCUGGCUACUCUCCAAGAACCCAAAAGCCAUAAUCAAGAUUCGUCAAGAAAUCAACACAAAACUUACUCCAAGAACCAAUGGUUCUAAAUUUGAUUCAUUCAACCCCCAAGAGUUAAACAAGUUGGUGUAUUUACAUGGCGCGUUGUAUGAAUCCCUCAGGCUAUAUCCCCCGGUUCCAUUUCAGCACAAGUCUCCAACUAAACCAGACGUUCUUCCGAGCGGACACAAGGUUGAUGCGAGUUCAAAGAUUGUGUUCUGUCUUUACUCAUUAGGGAGAAUGAAAUCAGUUUGGGGAGAAGAUGCAUCAGAGUUUAAACCGGAGAGAUGGGUAUCCGAGAGUGGAAGGUUGAUCCAUGUGCCUUCUUUUAAGUUCUUAUCAUUCAAUGCCGGUCCAAGGACUUGUUUGGGGAAAGAAGUGGCUAUGACACAGAUGAAGACAGUGGCUGUAAAAAUCAUACAAAACUAUGAGAUAAAGGUUGUUGAAGGACACAAAGUCGAGCCAGUGCCAUCUAUUAUUCUUCACAUGAAGCAUGGUCUUAAAGUUACAGUCACUAAGAGAUGUAAUUUGGUCUGAAUAAUUUUGCAUUACUUGUGGACUCUAUGGUAUGGAAAUAAGUAAUAAAAGUUUGCUAAGAGCUUGUCCUGGGAUUGGCCUAGCGAAUCGGUUAGCUACUGUCCAUAACAUUCUUGAUGAUUUUGCUUAAGUUCUUGAGUAUGUACUCGAGAGUUUGUUUAGAAUUGCUAUGUAGUUCUAGUUUUUCUAAAUAAAACUUAAAAUAGAUUAAAUAAAUAUUCAACAUUAAAAUGAUUUGUUAUCACACAGAGUCAUUGAACAAAUCAUACAAAGCAAUCUGAACAAAAAAGAUUAUCCUGUCCAAAAAAAAAAAAAAUCAAACAGACAAACAUAUAAUACAAAUGUUUAAAUUUUAAUAUCUCAAAUGUUUUUUUUCUGCGACUAGGUCAGUUUCAGAGAACCAUAGGUAAAAAAGUUUAGAGAAUGAUUGUUUCAUGGGACAAAAGAAGAAGACUUGAAAAGUCAACUAUGGUCUUCUUCUUCUCUCUUUUAUGUCACACCAAUGAUUUCAAUUCUCUAUCUCUCCUUCAAUCUCAUCUUCUUCAUCAACCCUCUUCACAUAGACCACACAUGUUUCUUCAUCCAUUGACCUCAAAUACUUGACUUUUCUUUCUCGCUCUUUCUCUCCAUCGGAGCUAUGGAGAAUCUCUGUUUUGGAGAGACUGUUUCUCUCUUUGUAACUGUUAUGGUUAUUGUUCUUCUUCCUCGUCUCACUCUCUCUCAAACUGCAGCGUAUACUCGACCCGCGAAGUUUUAUGUUAACUGUGGGUCGGAUUCUAAUGCUGAUCAUGGUAAAGUAACCUUCGUUGGAGAUAUGAACUCUAGUAAUAAUUCUGUUACCUUGAGCGGUAAAGGAAGUGAAGUCAUCAACGAUCAAUCAUCUGGUGAGCCCGUAAUCUACCGGACGGUUAGGAUAUUCAGACGCCCUUCUACUUACAAGUUCCAACUCGAUUCUGUUGGUCUACAUGUUGUGCGUCUCCAUUUCUCUGCUGUGUUUUCUAGGGAAGAUCUUUUAAAUGCUCGUUUCAGUGUCUCUGUUACUUCUGGUUCUAAUCAUCACUUGAAAAGUUUCUCACUUCAGAAUUUUACUGAGACCCCACGAGUUGAAGAGUUUCUCCUGAUGAUCAACUCGCCAGAAUUGGAAAUCCAAUUUGUGCCGGAUAGUUCCUCUUUAGCUCUCGUCAACGCCAUUGAAGUUUUCGCUAUUCCUGAUGAUCUUGAAAUUACAAACGAUCUCGACAAGAAUCUGCAUAUACUUUACAGAUUAAACGUAGGCGGCAUGAAAAUCACACCGGCAAAUGAUACCUUGGGAAGGACUUGGUUGCCUGACUAUGACUUUCUCUUCAAAAAAGAUUCUGCGAGGAACAUUUCAUCAAUACAAAAGCCUAAUUAUGUGUCAGGGUCUCGGUCAGCGACUGAAUUUACUGCUCCUGAUUUCGUCUACCAGACAGCUCAGGCACUAGACCAUAGCUCGAGUCGGGGAGCGGAGGGGAUGUUAAUGAACGUUACGUGGUCAUUUAAGGUCAAAAGUGAUCAUAGACACUUCAUCAGGAUUCACUUCUGUGAUAUUGUGAAGGAUUCACAAAACUCUGAUUUCUAUCUCUAUGUAAACGGGUAUCCGCGAGUAGAUAUAAAGCCUUCAGAGUAUGGUGGGCCAGUGACUCCAUUUUAUAAAGAUGUCGUGACUGUCUCUGAUGGUUUUGGACACUUGAAUAUAAGUAUAGGUAAUAAGGAAUCCAACAAGGAUAUUGUUUUUCUGAAUGGUCUGGAGGUAAUGGAGUUUUUGAGUAAAUCUGAUUCUGAUCCUUCAGAUGGAAACCGUUCUCACAUUUACAUCAUCGCUGGUUGUGUUGCUGCCGCUAUAUUGGCUCUGGUCUUUACUUUGUUGUUUAUAGUAUUCUUGAAGCGAAGGAGACCGAAGAAGACAAAACCAGACGUUGAGGCCACUGUGUGGUCUCCAUUACCAUUAAACAGAGGUGGAAGCUCAGACAACAGACCAAUCUCUCCAUACAACAACUCACCAUUACGCAACUUACACUUAGGCUUGACGAUUCCCUUCAAAGACAUUCUAAGAGCUACAAACAACUUCGACGAGCAGUUAAUGAUCGGGAAAGGCGGGUUUGGAGAUGUCUACAAAGCUAUUCUUCCCGACGGAACCAAAGCCGCAAUCAAAAGAGGCAAGACCGGUUCAGGGCAAGGAAUCCUAGAGUUCCAAACAGAGAUUCAAGUCCUCUCAAGAAUCCGCCACAAACAUCUCGUAGCUCUAACGGGAUACUGCGAAGAGAACGGCGAAAUGAUCCUCGUCUACGAGUUUAUGGAGAAAGGUACGCUUAAAGAGCAUCUAUACGACUCUGACUUGCCUCCAUUGACAUGGAAACAAAGACUAGAAAUCUGCAUUGGAGCAGCUAGAGGAUUGCAUUACCUACACAGCAGUGGAACAGAAGGAGCAAUCAUACACAGAGACGUCAAAUCCACAAACAUACUACUAGACGAGAACACAACAGCUAAAGUCGCCGACUUUGGACUCUCCAAACUCACAAUUCGUAAUCAAGAUCAAACCCAUAUGAGCACAAACAUCAAAGGAACAUUUGGUUACCUCGAUCCAGAGUACCUCUCAACACACAACUUAACCGAGAAAUCAGAUGUUUACGCCUUCGGUGUCGUCCUCCUCGAGGUCCUAUGCGCGAGACCAGCUCUGAAUCCUUACCUCCCACACGAAGAAGUGAAUCUCGCGGAGUGGGCGUUGUACUGCAAAUCAAACGGAGUAAUCGAUGAGAUCGUGGAUCCGAAUCUGAUAGGUCAAAUCGAGAUGAACUCUCUGCUGAAAUUCAUGGAAAUAGCGGAGAAAUGUUUGAGAGAGUAUGGAGAUCAGAGACCGAGUAUGGCGGAUGUGAUUUGGGAUCUGGAGUAUGUUCUUCAGCUUCAGACGAUGACGAUUCGUAGAGAGGCUCAUGAUGAAGAAGAUAGUACGGCGAUUGAUUCAGGUGUGAUCCCGAGGUUGAUGGUGAGUGAUUCGUUUAGUAUGAACUCGUUUGUGGUGAAGGAUGAUGAAUCGAGUCACAGAUUUGGGAAUACGGAUUCGUCGGAGACUCGAGUUUUCUCACAGUUGAAGAUCUCUGAAGCGAGAUGAUGUAAUCAUUUUUUAUAUCGUGUGUGAAAAAUUUAAAUUUGUUAGAAAUGUGAUGUCAUUUUUAUAUCGUUUAAUUAACUAUUUUACUUUUAGCAAUUUUCAGUUAAACAUUAUAACUUAUGAUAACUCAAAAAUUAUUAAAUCGAUGGUAAAAUUGAAAGAAAAAAGAAGAAAAAAAAAAGUAGACUGAAAAAAAUAUGGAAAACUUGACAAUUUUAAGAAUCAUUCAAAAAUUAUCCUUUGACAAUUUUGGAAAAAACUUUCGGAGGAAAAAGAAUAUUGUUAAAGACCGUAUAAAAUAUAGUAUCUAAAUAUAUGUCAUUAAUUAUUUUCUAAUAAAUUUUUUAACAUUAACAUUAGGCGUUAAAAAAAAAAAAACCAUAUUAAGUAGUGCAAAUGGUAGAGCAACAAAGCACAUAGUAGAAAAAUGUAGACCAAGUGUGUAUGUUAGAGAAUUUCAAUCUCGUGCUAUUGGCAAAGCAAUUAGAGUACUUCUAAACAUGGGUGUUUAUUAUUAACUAUGUAUACAAAUAUUAUUAUUUAAUUUGAUGAGUUGUUUAUUUAGCGAAGAAUUUUUCAAAAUUUGAUGACAAAAAAAUUUUUUCAAAAAUUUCUUAAAUCUCUUGUUUAAGCAACUUUGAAUAUAUGUUUUACCUAUUUAAGCAACUCACAUAAUUUUGUAUUAAUAAUUUUGUUCUCUCUAAAAUAAGCAACUUGAGUUAACAACCACCAAUAGAGGUGGUUUUCUUAGAACGCCUAUUUACCACGAGCUUUGCUUUGUGGUAUAUUUCUUGACAUUUUAAAUUCUCUAGUCAUCUAUAAAUCCAAAUAUAAAACAUGUUCUUGUAUGGUUAGCUGAGUAUGUUGGCAAAAAAAAAAGAGUGCUUACCAUUGGUCAUCAAUAUUUCUCAAAUUUUGUUAUGAAUUGCUUAAGUUAACAAAAAGCAAAUUUUAUUAUAAAAAUUUUGGUAAGCAUUGGAAGUGCUUACCAUUGGAGAGGUGCUCUAAGUGUUUACUUUGGAGACGAUUUUGGUCACGUCACAUUACGAUCGAAAAACUUGAAAAAUCCAAAAAAUUUGAACCCGCUAAAUAUGCAAGCAAGUACAAAACGUUUCUGCUAGGCUAGUCAUAGCUCUCAUCGUUUUAUCCGUCAGAUUCUCAAUUUCUAAUCUCUCAAAAAAUUUGUUUUGUGUUGCUUCCACAACUUAGCUGAAUUCAUGUGGCUUUGCUACACGUGUUUGUUUGCAUGAGACGUGAACAUAUCUUUAGUGACGGGUGGGGAAAGUUCUAUGAAAAACAUAUUUUUAUUUUUGCAUGAUCUUUGCUUUCUCGCUUACGUUAUAAACUAAGCUACAACUUUUAAACUCCUUCAGUUUUCAUUUCCACACAAACAAAUUCGUAGAUCUAAACAAUGGAAACACAUUACCUACUUUUAUCUCUUGCCUUCUUCGUUUUCAUUACUUUUAAGCUUUGGUUUAGUAAACAACAUAGCAAGUUUAACCUACCACCAAGUCCGGGUAGGCUAAUGCCAUUGAUAGGACACCUACACCUCCUGAAGAUGCCUCUUCACCGCACCUUCCUCUCUUUCUCUCAAUCCUUAGGUGACGCCCCAAUCUUCUGCCUCCGCCUCGGAAACCGUCUCACGGUUGUCGUCUCUUCCUACGACGUCGCUGAAGAAUGUUUUACUAAAAACGACAUUGUUUUGGCCAAUAGGCCAGACUUAAUUCUCGGUAAACAUAUUGAGUACAACUCCACCACUAUGACUAGUGCGCCUUAUGGUGACCACUGGAGAAACCUGCGCCGCAUCGCGACCUUGGAGAUUUUCGCGUCGCAUAAGCUUAACGGUUUCUUAUCUGUCCGUAAAGAUGAGAUCCGACACUUGUUACUACGUCUCUCCAAAAACUCGCAACAUGUAUGUGACCUUCUACAUAUAUUUAACAUUAUUAUAACCUAUUUAUUUGUAGUAUUGCCACUUUAUCACUGCAUGCAUGGGUCUAAACCUGGCAAUGUGCGUGCAUGUGAUCAAAUUUGAGAGUUGAUCAUUUUUUUUAUGCAUGUGAAUAUGAUUAGGGGUUUGCGAAGGCGGAUGAGACAUUUGCUAUUUGAGUUGACUAUAAAUAACGUGUUUAGAAUGGUAGCCGGGAAACGAUUUUAUGGUGAGGGCACUGAGCAAGACGACGUUGCGAAGGAAGUGAGAAAGCUUAUGGAUGAGACUGUGUCCGUAGCUGGAGCCGGGAAUGCAGCUGAUUACUUACCAAUCUUGCGUUGGAUCACAAAUUUUGAGAAACGCAUCAAGAGGUUAGCGACUCGGCUCGAUAAGUUCUUGCAGAGUCUAGUGGAUGAGAAACGUGCGGUUAAAGAAGAGGGUAACACAAUGAUUGAUCACUUGCUUUCUCUCCAAGAAACUCAGCCUGAUUAUUAUACAGACGUCACUCUUAAAGGAAUCAUAGUUGUAAGUAUUGACUAAGCCUAAUAUUAUAUAAUCAAGCUUUAUAGUGUGGCUGAGAAUGAAUUUGAAUGUUACAGGUUAUGAUAAUUGCUGGAUCUGAGACUAUAGCAUGGACUUUAGAAUGGGCGAUGAUGAAUUUGUUGAACCAUCCAGAAGUAUUAAAGAAAGCUAGGACCGAAAUCGAUUCGAAAAUCGGUUUCGACCGGUUAAUAGAUGAAUCGGAUACUACAAAUCUCCCUUAUCUCCAACGUAUCGUGUUGGAGACUCUACGUCUUCACCCGGCAGCUCCAACAAAUGUUCCACAUAUGACCUCAGAUGAUUGCAAGUUGGGAGGAUACGUUUGUUCGGAUUCUUUUCUUUUUCGAAUGAGGCUAGUGGAGACAAAUUCCUUCCGACGUUCCACGUGGUACGAUGUUAUUGGUGAACAUAUGGGCCAUACAUAGAGACCCGUCUAUAUGGGAAGAUCCAGAUAUGUUCAAGCCAGAGAGGUUUGAAAAUGAAAAGCAAAAGCAAAAGUUGUUGUCGUUUGGGAUUGGAAGACGAUCUUGUCCCGGGAAUGGCCUAGCUCAUCGGCUAGUGAGCUUGGCUCUUGGAUCGAUGGUUCAGUGUUUCGAAUGGCAGAGAAUUGGGGAUGAAUAUGUUGACAUUAGAGAAGAAGAAGUCGUGGCCUUGAUGCGUCCAGCGACACCGUUGCUAGCUAUGUGUAAAGCUCGUCCCUUUGUCCAUAAGAUUCUUGAUGCUUAAGUGUAACUUGCCUUUAUUUGUCCUUUGGGAAAAUUAAAAACGAGACAAGACUGUCGUGUACUUUAAAGUUUCAUAUGUACUCUUACAUGUGUUAACACAUGGUUUUUAAGGAUAAGUUCUUUCUUUGGAACACAAUUCUCAUUUUUUGGUGUCAAAUCACAAUACUCGAGUUUUAGAUUGCCGACAUUGUUUUCGUCGACUGGUUAACAUGGCAUCAGAACCAACGAAAUCAAAUAAACCAGAGUCAGUAAACAUAGUUAGCGAGAUCUGGUGUUUGUAGUGAUGGUGCAUGGUUGGUGACAGUGGGUGGUUUGGUGUUAAAGACAGUGAUGAUGGGUCAUUUACUUAACAAAUAACAACAGAGAAGAAAAAAUAGUUAAGUUAUUCAAGUCAUUUUGCAUGUCUCUCCAUUGGUACAAUAUUGGAAGGUCAUUUAUGUACUAUAAUUUAAUUUUUAUUUCAAGGUUAUUUUGUGUAUCUAUUCUAAUUAUUUAUGUUGAUUUGUAUACUACACGUGUUUGGUUGCAUGAGACGUGAACAUAUCUUUAGUGACUGAUGGGAUAAAUUCCAUGACAAUACCAAACUUUUAACGUCUUUUUUGCAUGCUCUUGUUUACGUUAUAAAUUUAAGCUAUAAACUUAAACUUUUAACUUUAGUGUUCAUUUCAACACAAAACAAAAUUCGUAGUUAUAUCCGUUACUCUAUCUCUGGCUAUAUUGAUUUAUUAUUAAUGUUGAUAUAUUACACUUGUUUGGUUGCAUGAGACGUGAACAUAUCUUUAGUGACGGAUGGGAUAAAUUCCAUGAAAAUGCCAAAAUUUGAACGUCUUUUUUGCAUGAUCUUGUUUACGUUAUAAACUUUAGCUAUAGCUUUUUGAACUUUAGUGUUCAUUUCAACACAAAACAAAUUCGUAGUUAGAUCCGUUACUCUAUAGCUGGCUAUGUUUAUAAUUUCCAUGCAUGUGACAGUACCAAAAUUGUAACGUCUUUUUUUUUUUUUGCAUGCUCUCUCUUAUAUUAUAAACUAAGCUAUAUAUAUAACUUUUUUUUUAACUUUAGUGUUUAUUUCAACACAAACAAAUUCGUAGUUAGAUCAUUUACUCAAUAUAUAGUUAGCUAUAUAAUUUAUUAUUAAUGUUGAUAUCUUACACUUGUUUGGUUGCAUGAGACGAGAACAUAUCUUUAGUGACGGAUGGGAUAAAUUCCAUGAGUCAUGCUUUAAUCAUGGACCAUGAUAAUAUCUUGAAUCAUGGAUGGAUGGACCAUGACAAUACCAAAACUGUAACGUCUUUUUUAUGCAUGUUCUUGCUUACGUUAUAAAUUAAGCUGUAACUUUUAACUCCAGGAUUCAUUUCACACAUAUUCGUCAUGGAAACUCAUUUCCUAGUUUUGUCUCUCGCCUUCUUCGUUUUCAUUGCUCUUAAACUUUUGUAUGGUAAACGAAAGAGCAAAUUUAACCUACCACCAAGUCCGGCUAGGCCACUACCGUUCAUUGGGCACCUUCACCUCCUAAAAAUGCCGCUUCACCGCACACUCCUCUCUCUCUCUCAGUCCCUAGGUGACGCCCCAAUCUUCUCCCUCCGCCCCGGAAACCGUCUCAUGGUUAUCGUCUCUUCCUACGCCAUCGCUGAAGAAUGCUUUACAAAAAACGACAUUGUUUUGGCCAAUAGGCCAGAGUUUAUUGUAAGGAAACAUAUUGAGUACAACUCCACCACUAUGACUAGUGCGCCUUAUGGUGACCACUGGCGAAACCUGCGCCGCAUCUGCACCCUUGAGAUCUUCUCGUCACAUAAGCUCAACGGCUUCUUAUCUGUCCGUCACGAUGAGACCCGACACUUGUUACUACGCCUCUCCAAAAACUCCCAACAUGUAUGUCAGCUUCUACAUAUAUAUCUUAACAUUAUAUAUAUCCAAAUAAGCUAGUAACCUAGGGAUUUGUAGUAUUGUCCACUCUAUCAUGACAUGGGUACGUAGUAGUAUGAAAAUGAAAAUCUGAGAGUUGACCAUUUGUUUAUGUGACUAUAAUCAGGGAUUUGCAAAGGUGGAGAUGAGAAAUUUGCUUUUUGAGUUGACUAUAAAUAACAUUUUUAGAAUGAUAGCCGGGAAACGAUUUUAUGGUGAGGGCACUGAGCAAGACGAGGUUGCUUCGCAAGUGAGAGACCUACUAGACGAGAUUAUGGCUAGUGCUGGCGCCGGGAAUGCAGCUGAUUACUUACCAAUCUUGGGAUGGAUCACAAAUUUUGAGAAACGCAUCAAGAAGUUAGCGAGUCGGCUUGAUAAGUUCUUACAGAGUCUUGUGGAUGAGAAACGUGCUGAUAAAGAAAAGGGUAACACUAUGAUUGAUCACUUGCUUUCUCUCCAAGAAACGCAACCUGAUUAUUACACAGACGUCAUUAUUAAAGGAAUCAUAGUUGUAAGUAUUUAGUAACCCUAAUAAUAUACUAAUCAAUCUUUAUGGUGGUUGAUGAUAACAUUUUGAACUUACAGGUUAUGAUAUUCGCUGGAUCUGAGACAAUAGCAUGGACUUUAGAAUGGGCAAUGUUGAAUUUGUUGAACCAUCAAGAAAUAUUGGAGAAAGCUAGGACCGAAAUCGAUACGAAAGUCGGUUUUGACCGGUUAAUAGAUGAAUCGGAUACUACAAAUCUCCCUUACCUACAACGGAUUGUGUUGGAGACCUUACGGCUUUACCCGGUAGCUCCAACACUUGAUCCACAUAUGACCUCAGAGGAUUGCAUGUUGGCUGGAUACGACGUUCCGCGCGGUACGAUGUUAUUGGUGAACAUAUGGGCCAUGCAUAGAGACCCGUCCAUAUGGGAAGAUCCAGAAAUGUUCAAGCCAGAGAGGUUUGAAGAUGAAAAAGAAAAGCAAAAGUUGUUGGCGUUUGGGGUUGGACGACGAGCUUGUCCAGGGAUUGGCCUAGCGAAUCGGCUAGUGACCUUGGCUCUUGGAUCGAUGGUUCAGUGUUUUGAGUGGGAGAGAGUUGGAGAAGAAUAUGUUGAGAGUAGAGAAGAACCCAUGACCUUGAUGCGUCCGGAGACACCGUUACUAGCCAUGUGUAAAGCUCGCCCCAUUGUACACAAGGUUGUAGUUGGUUAGGGCAUUUUAGUGAAUGAAUUAUCUUAUGAUGUAUGAUAAGUUAAUUCACAUGUUAAUCAUCAAAAAUCAAAAUCGUCGCUUUUAUUAAUAAAAGAUGAAACAAAUUCUCCCAAAACGUCAGUCUUAAUUCUUGUCCAACAUUAUUUUAUUAAACUGUUUCUUAAGAUGAUGCAACUCAUGAUACUAUAAUCUACAUUACUCUAUAUUGCUAAAACUAAUAAUUACCCUUACGUACUCAUGAUGACGACAUUUCGGUCUACAGGUACAGGUUCGAUCGAGAUCAAUUUCAUACAAAAAACUGUGUCUCGACUCUCGAAUGGAACGACACGAUAAACACCAAAUCAAUCAGGGAGAAAACGAAAACAAAUGAUGCAUUACUUGACCGUACAAUUUUUAGUUAUAAGUUAAGGGUUUAAAAAUUUUUUGAUCACACAAAAAUAUAAUCUAAGAAUGUGCGUCAAUCAAAUAACAUUAUAACAAAAAUUGAACAAAUCAUGAAAAAAAUACGAAUUCACAACAGAAAUAUCGUGUCAUGUUUACGUGAUAAAUAUAAUAAUUUUUAUUUUGUUUUUUUUCAAACACUUGAUUCAUUCAUUCAUAAAGCCAAGUACAAAGAGAAGGAUUCAAAGAUUCAUAACAAGAAGAGACAUUCCCCAAUGCCAAACAAAGAUAGAUAAAAAGGAUCGACAAGGAAUCCAAGAGAGCGUGAUAAAUAUAAUUUAAGUUAACUUUUUAUUGUUUUACAUAAAUUUUGUUUUCAAUAACAGAGAGUUUGAAAAGACAUAUUAAAAUCAUUAAUUGAAUAACAAGUGAUUUUAAAAAUAUUUUAAAAUCUUCUAAAAUGUCAAAUUCAAUACACCCCCUAAAAUUGCAAUAAUUAGUUAACGAGGCUAACAUGCUAACUUAAUAUAACUUAAGAGUUUCAUGCUAACUUAAAUUUGCAAUAAUUAGUACCACAUACAUUUCAUAUACUAUAGAUAUAAAAAUUUACUAAAUAUAAUAUACGUUUUCAGUAUAUAAAAAUAUCACAAAUCAUUUAUUUACCAAACAUAGUUUUAUUUGUUAAUUUAUAUAUAGGCAAAAAUUAAUAUAUAUGUACAAAAAAUUUAUAUGUAUACGUACAACAAUCAAACCAUAUCACCCAAUUAAUCUGUAAAUAAUUCACAGUAUAAUAUUAAUUUAUACUUUUGUUAUAACUUUAAUACUUGUGUUGUAAAAGAAAAAAUACAGCCUCGGGAAAAAAAAACGAAAAUAUGAACAAACAAAGAAUCAAGUGAUAAAAGAAAUUUGAAGAUUCAAUUAAAUAUUUUAAUUUUGUUUGGUACUAAAUGUUAUAAAAGUGCUUUUAAAGCUGUAACAAAAAUUGGUGACAAAAAUAAGGUGUAUUUCAAUUUUUUUUUGAAAAAUGGUUCUCUUUCUUUUUACAUUGUUCCCUUUGAAUUUACAGUGGUUCACAUGAACCAUUGUUGCCACGUUCCUUAUGUGUUCUUAUAGCUUAUGAGAAUGUUAGACAAAUGUUUCAUCAGAUGCCAUAUGGAAGAACUCAUGCACAUGCAAUAAAAUGCAAUUCUAUUAAGAGGAUGCAAACAAAGCUAUCAAGUAAGACCAAGCCAAUACAUGGUGAUCAUCAUUACAAAUAGACAUAUCGUUAAAAGCUGCAUAUCUUCCAUAUAUAUGACACUUGUCUUUUAAUCUCUUAUAAGCUUAGCCAUAUAUAAGAUACCAUGUUGGCUUUGUUUCUCACGCCCAAUACCUCCAAGAAUUGAUUGGUGCCGUUAAUUUAGUUGCAACCCAAACAUUAUCAGUUACCAAGUAGAGAAAUUACUCAUUGGUUAGCUAGGCUAAGGAUAUGUGAUGAUAAGUAGAUAGGUAGAGAUAGAUAUCAACAUAGACCAUUUUUGCUCCCCAUGCAUACAUGUGGCGAUUAAAUACUUAUUUAAGUCGAUAAAAACUAAAUACUUAGUUUUUGUGCCCUUGAUUAAUUUACUUUUAAGAAAAUCAUAUAAACAUUGACAAGUUACUCAUCAGCGUCACACUAAUGUGAUCACAAUUUAUAUAUAAUUAUACAACGAUCUAAACAAUUUGACAGAGAUAAUUAACUAAUUCGGAGCAAACUCUCUCGCUUUCCACAUACAUCAUUUGCUCGUAAGCCUACAAGGCAGCUUUGUUUGAAGACUACGGAGUUACUAGAGUAUGACGUUCAGGAAAGUAAACGUACGUUUAAGAAGUUGCCACCUUCUGAAUGGGGUGAUCAUUUCCUUCGUCUUCCCAUCAAUGUCUCAGUGAGUUCGUUACACAUACAUAUAUAUAUAUAUAUAUAUAUAUACGUUUGUUGCAUGAGAUAUUAAUAAGCUGGAUUCUUAUAGGAGAUGGAUGCGGUUACAAGAGAGAUGAACGCAAUAAAGCCAACAGCAAGGAAGAUGCUCAUGUAUUCACAAGACGUGGAAGAGACAAAGAAGAGAAUUCUUACAAUCUACUUGCUGGUCGCACUUGGUCUCGCAUACCACUUCGAGGAUGAGAUAGAUGAUAAUUUGAAACACAGCUUCGAAAACAUGGAGACCGUUAUGGCCGGUGAAACUGACUUGUCCACAGUUUCGGUCAUAUUUUGGGUUUUCAGGACAUAUGGAUAUAACUUGUCUUCUGGUAAGGAGUAUAUCAAACUGAUGUUCAAUAAUUAUACUACUAUGUCUCCUUUAAUUAAAUUAUAUGCAACAUGGUCUAUUUUGUAAACAGACGUGUUUAAGAGAUUUAAAGGGGAGGAUGGGAAGUUUAAAGAAUGUCUUAAAGAAGAUGCCAAAGGUCUACUAAAUUUGUAUGAAGCCACACAAUUAGGUACGACCACUGACGAUAUUUUGGACGAAGCCAUGAUCUUCGCGUCGAGCCACUUGGAGCGUUUAGUAGGUGGAACGUGCCCGCCUCAUAUCUCAAGGGUUAUACGUAAUGCGCUUUACAUGCCUCAGCACCACAAUGCUGAUAUAUUAUUCGCAAGUGAAUACAUUAGGUUCUAUAAACAAGAAGAUGCUCACAACAAAGUCCUACUCGAGUUGGCUAAGCUCAAUUUCAAGUUCCUUCAACUCCAUUGGAUUAACGAGCUGAAAACUCUAACCAAGUAGACUACUUACUGUAUCAGUCACUUCUAUACAAUUUUUUCAAAGAAUAAUUUAAUUACAAGCUGCCGCGCUAAUACAUGUUUUUGCAGAUGGUGGAAUGACCAAGAUCUUGCAUCUAAGCUCCCACCUUACUUUAGACACAGAGUAGUGGAGUGCCAUUUAUAUGCAGUGAUUAUGUAUUUCGAGCCACAAUAUUCACUAGGCAGAAUCAAAUUGGCUAAGUUAUUGGUGCUCCUGACCGUUACGGAUGACUCUUGUGAUAGAUAUGGUUCUGUUCCUGAAGUUGCAAAGUUUCUUGACUGCAUCGAAAGGUAAUAUGCUAUACAUAUAAUAGCAAGCUUAAUAAAUGUUUUAAUCGAUGAGAGAGCUCCAAUGAAACGACGAAGAAGUAGAAUAAAUUAUUACCAAAAGAGCCUAUAGUUUAACUGGUAAAGAUCUCUGACAAAAGCUUAGAAAUCGCUGGUUCGGUAACUAACAAAAUCUGUUAUUUCUUACUAAGAACUUAUGGAAGAAUGUUUCGGUUUACUUAAUUGUAAAAUACAAUAAUCCUUCUGGUUUUACUUAAACUAUUCAAUAGACCAAUGUCCAAAAGUAUGUACGUGUAUGCAGAUGGGAUCCAGAUCUUGGGGAGAGUCUGCCAGAUUAUCUCAAAACCGUCUUCAAGUUUACUAUGGACGUUUUUGAAGAUUGUGAACGAGCGGGGAAGAGUGAAGAAGGACGAAGCUACAAUGUGGAAGGUGCUUUAGCAGAGGUACAUAAUACAUAUAUUUUCACAUAUUAAUGCAGUUUACAUUACAAUUUACAUUAAUAGAAUGAUACUUAAUAAUGCAGUUCAAGAUACUCCAGCGAUCCCACCUUAACUAUGUUGAGUGGGCAAAGACAGAUAAGGUGCCAACAUUUGAAGAGUAUUUAGAGGUUGGGGGCGUGGGGGUCACAAUGUAUGCAACUAUAGCAUUGGGACUUCUCGGCUUGGGACCGAGUGCUACUAGGGAAGAAGGUUAUGCUUGGCUAAAAUCUAGACCAAAACUCGUUCAUGAUUUGGCAUCAAAGGGUCGUAUAAUGAAUGACAAGACUGGCUUCAAGGUACAUAAUUAUACGAGUCACAUUAUUUCAAAAUCUCUUCUUCUAACUAAGUAAUUAAACAUGAAUGCUAUGAAUAGGAUGACAUGAGCCGAGGUUUUAUCGCAAACGCUGUCAACUAUUAUAUGAAUGAAUUCGGAGCUACUGAAGAGGAAACAUAUAAGGCGUUUCAUAAAAUGGUUAGAGACCUGGAGAAGUCGGUGAACACAGAGCUCUUGAAGACACAUAGAAGAGUGCAUCGUGAAGUCCUAUCUCGAGCCAUUAAUUGUGGGAAAAUGAUUGAUGUUACCUACAGAUCCCACGACGGGUACACUCGUCCCAAAGGACAAUUCACAGAGUUUGUCGAAUCAUUGUUUGUCGACUACAUGGAUGCGUCUUUGAUGGUAAGUUAAGGGUUUUGGUUGAAACACUUGGUUCCACUCUAGCUCUUGUGAUGUAGCAUGUAUCUCUUUCUACCUUAUGAGUUUUAUUGAUCAACAUGUAAUAUGCCAAUAAACAGAUCAAUUUAAGCAUAGUUUGUUUAAAUAUAUUUGUUUGGCCCAAAAAAAAAACAAAAAAAAAACAUACAAAAAUGUUUCACUCCAAUUUCCCCAAAUUUCAACAUUCAGCUUCCUUAACCUAUAGAGUGUGAAAAUAAGCAAAAUCAAUCCAUAUAUGACAUUUAUAUUUUCUAUGUCCAACCUAAA
rnacentral:lncRNA from 1 species